rnacentral:rRNA from 1 species
UCGGGAAUUUUGGGCAAUGGGGGAAACCCUGACCCAGCAACGCCGCGUGAGGGAUGAAGUAUUUCGGUAUGUAAACUUCGAAAGAAUAGGAAGAAUAAAUGACGGUACUAUUUAUAAGGUCCGGCUAACUACGUGCCAGCAGCCGCGGUAAUACGUAGGGACCAAGCGUUGUUCGGAUUUACUGGGCGUAAAGGGCGCGUAGGCGGCAUGACAAGUCACUUGUGAAAUCUCUGGGCUUAACCCAGAACGGCCAAGUGAUACUGUCGCGCUAGAGUGCAGAAGGGGCAAUCGGAAUUCUUGGUGUAGCGGUGAAAUGCGUAGAUAUCAAGAGGAACACCUGAGGUGAAGACGGGUUGCUGGGCUGACACUGACGCUGAGGCGCGAAAGCCAGGGGAGCAAACGGGGAUUAGAUACCCAUGUAGUCCCUGAGCGGGCUGGCAAGGCGCAU